AUGGAAAAGGCUCCCAUCCCUGCUGCUGCUGUGAGCCCUUCACAGCACUCGCACACACACACACUGCACACACGCACACUGCACACAGCUCUGGGCAGGGAGCGGGCCGCGGCAGUCCCUGAGCUCGCCACCCACGGGACGCCCGCGGCCUCUGGCGGGCACUGCCCGGGGCCCGUGGGACGACGACGGGGGCAGCUCCGGCUCGUGGGACGACGGGGACGGCGCCCUGCGAUAGCGGCCGGGCCCGGGGCUUCGAGACGGCCGCGAGGUGUCGGGGCACGGAGCCGUUCCGUCCCGGGACUGCUCCCGCAGGGCAGGAGGGGCCGAGCUGGGCGGCUGGGCUGCAGCCUUGCCCGGAGGUCGCGCCCCCCGCGCGGAUCUCCGGGUGGGACCGUGUCCGUGCCGCCCCCGUGCCGUGUUCUCCCCCUCCCCCCCCCGUCACCACGCACGUUCCCAGAGCUGCCCGCACACACAGCGUGGGGCCCGCCCGGCCCUUCACGCCCAGCACCAGGGGAGGGGCUCCCACGCGGGACAGGGGGCGGUGGUGCGGGACGGGUCCCGGGCACGGCCCCGUCUCAGCGCGGUCUGCGCUCACUCGCCGGCACCGGGAGCCCGCAGCAGCAGCAGCCCCAGCCCGACGCGGGGCCGGGGAGCCCCCCCCAUCCCCGUGCUCCGCGGCAACCUCCGCGCCGGGAGCCGGCGGUGGCGGGGGCUCGGCCGCGCCGUGCGGACGAUCCGGGAGACGCGAAGCGGGGGCAGAAGCAGCCGCCGGGGAUCACCCGAUCCCCUUCUGCGACCCGACCGCUACCUGCGCCUGGCAAGGACGAGACCGGCCCGGCCUCACCUUGGACCGGGACCGUCGGGGCUGCCCCGAGCACAGCCAAGGAGGGACCGGCGGGCGAGGCCUGGCUGCCGCAGGGCUGCCCUGGGUGUCCGGCUUCAGCCCGGCCACUCGUCCUCUGUGCGGCCGAGGGGAGGCGGAGGGGGCUCGACCUCCUCCUGGGCUCGGCGCCGGCCCCCUCCGCCGCACGGCGCCCGGCGGUCCCGGGGAGCCCUCGACAAGGGCGGCGGCGCCUCCUGCCGGCCCCGCAGUAA
rnacentral:lncRNA from 1 species